rnacentral:rRNA from 1 species
AUUGAACGCUGGCGGCAUGCUUUACACAUGCAAGUCGAACGGUAACAGCACUUCGGUGGCUGACGAGUGGCGAACGGGUGAGUAAUACAUCGGAACGUGCCUAGUAGUGGGGGAUAACUACUCUAAAGAGUAGCUAAUACCGCAUGAGAUCUAAGGAUGAAAGCAGGGGACCUUCGGGCCUUGCGCUACUAGAGCGGCCGAUGGCAGAUGAGGUAGUUGGUGAGAUAAAAGCUGACCAAGCCGACGAUUUGUAGCUGGGCUGAGAGGACGACCAGCCACACUGGGACUGAGCCACGGCCCAGACUCCUACGGGAGGCAGCAGUGGGGAAUUUUGGACAAUGCGCGCAAGCCUGCUCCAGCAAUGCCGCGUGCAGGAUGAAGGCCUUCGCGUUCUAACCUGCUUUUGUAAGGAACGAAAAGCCCUCUUCUAAUACAGGAGGGUCAUGACGGUACCGUAAGACUAAGCACCGGCUAACUACGUG